rnacentral:lncRNA from 1 species
CAAAGAGUCCCAGUGGGAAAAUGGAAGUAGCACCUUCAUCACCACAGGAGGCUGGGAUGUCAACUGGAGAGUGUUAAUAUCUGUGCCCAGAUGGGCGGGCACCUUCUUUCCCCUCAGUUGAGCCCUUGGACAGCCCUCUUGGGGGGCAAGUCAGAGCCUUCAGGGUGUCUACACUCGACUAGAGGCUGUUUCUGUGAGCCACGUGGAAAAGAAAGAAGGCAAAUUCCCCUCUGUGGGCAGAUGUCCUCUGCUCACAUCUUUGAGUUUAGCUCCACACAGUGGAGGCUUGAACCAAACCAACCAGGUACAAGAAAGACGAUGGAGCCCUGCAGAUACAAAGCUGCUCCCUGCAGGAUUUUAAUUAUUUAUAUUCUUCCAGCAAACGGAGCCCUCAUCCGUUUUCUGAGGAUAGGGUAUGUGGAGACUAGGGGGUCAAAACGCAGUUGCUGACACGGUUAGCCUGGUAAAGGGCGAUUUAAUUGAUCUCCUCUGCACAUGGACAUGCUGAAAGCCUGAGAUCACUGUACCAAAAAUCAUAACUGGUAGCAUGGCAGAAAGCUAAUUUUGCCGUAAGAACUCCAGAGCGUAAGGGAUUUUUUUCCUCCAAAGGUCAAAGGCAGGGUCAUCUGACUCCUAUUACCAGGGCAAGGGUCCAGCUGUUGGUAGAAGACAGCACUGUUUUU